rnacentral:rRNA from 1 species
UACGUAGGGGGCAAGCGUUGUCCGGAAUCAUUGGGCGUAAAGCGCGCGUAGGUGGCUUCUUAAGUCCGUUGUGAAAGUCAAAGGCUCAACCUUUGAAAGCCGAUGGAUACUGAGAAGCUAGAGUACGGAAGAGGCGAGUGGAAUUCCUGGUGUAGCGGUGGAAUGCGCAGAUAUCAGGAGGAACACCAAUAGCGAAGGCAGCUCGCUGGGACGUUACUGACACUAAGGCGCGAAAGCGUGGGGAGCGAACAGG